rnacentral:rRNA from 1 species
GACGAACGCUGGCGGCGUGCUUAACACAUGCAAGUCGAACGGAAAGGCCCUGCUUUUGUGGGGUGCUCGAGUGGCGAACGGGUGAGUAACACGUGAGUAACCUGCCCUUGACUUUGGGAUAACUUCAGGAAACUGGGGCUCAUACCGGAUAGGAGCUCCUGCUGCAUGGUGGGGGCUGGAAAGUUUCGGCGGUUGGGGAUGGACUCGCGGCUUAUCAGCUUGUUGGUGGGGUAGUGGCUUACCAAGGCUUUGACGGGUAGCCGGCCUGAGCGGGUGACCGGCCACAUUGGGACUGAGAUACGGCCCAGACUCCUACGGGAGGCAGCAGUGGGGAAUAUUGCACUAUGGGCGGAAGCCUGAUGCAGCAACGCCGCGUGCGGGAUGACGGCCUUCGGGUUGUAAACCGCUUUCGCCUGUGACGAAGCGUGAGUGACGGUAAUGGGUAAAGAAGCACCGGCUAACUACGUG